CCCCCACUGUACUGUGAAGCUCAGGGCAAGACUUUCUAAAAGUCUUCUGCCUACACCUGACAUGCUGUCCAGUGUGCACAGUUAUAUGUUGACUGUAUGAAGAUGGUGAAGGCUUUUCUGUAGUUGCAGAUCUCGCAAAAGGGGAGGAAGGCCUUCACCGCUGAACCCGAGCUUUGCCAUUUCGAAGUGCUGAGUCACCUCGUCCUCUCAGGGUCAGACACUUUCACGCAGGAAACGUCCUGCAGAGCACCGCAGCGGGAGCACCGAGCUGACCUGGAAGGAGAGAACAAGGGCCUUCCUGAGGCAGGACAAGGACCCAGAACUACCCAGAAUGCAGCAGGGCGGCCCCGCACGACUGAGCUCUGAUCCUAACCUGCAAAGUGAAGUUUCAAUUUCCACUUCCUGAGAAGAUGUGGAAACUCAGAGAGGAUGCCACUGUUUUGAACUAUUUUGAAGGCACAGCCACCAGAGCUUUAGGGACAGGGUAUUUUAUCACAGCAACAGAAAUGAAACCAAAACAACUCCACAAUAAAAUUCUUGAGUUUCUUGGGGCCAAGAAGAUGACACGAUAAGAUAAAGACACUGGCCAAGCAUGACCUCCAGAGUUUGGCCCUUGCAUAAAGGAGAAAAUUAAUUCCUUCAGUUGUUCUCUGACCUCCACAUGCGUCCUGUAACAUGGGUGUAUGCAUACACAUAAACACACAUCCACACGUUGUUAAAUAAAUAAAAAAAAUAUGUUAACA
rnacentral:lncRNA from 1 species